GUGCCAGCCGCCGCGGUAAUACAGAGACUGCAAGCGUUGUUCGGAUUCAUUGGGCGUAAAGGGUGCGCAGGCGGCUCGUUAAGUCGGAUGUGAAAUCUCACAGCCUAACUGUGAUAGGUCAUUCGAAACUAGCGGGCUCGAGGACUGGAGAGGAGACUGGAAUAGUCGGUGUAGCGGUGAAAUGCGUAGAGAUCGACUAGAACACCGGUGGCGAAGGCGAGUCUCUGGACAGUUCCUGACGCUCAGGCACGAAAGCCAGGGGAGCAAACGGGAUUAGAAACCCUGGUAGUCC
rnacentral:rRNA from 1 species